CCUUAAUAAUAUACACUAAUUAAUAAUUUCUUAAUUUUAUUUUAUAAUUCAAUAACAUAUAUGUUUAUUUAAAAAAUUUCUAUUAUUUAAAACACUAAUAAAAUUUAAACACUUGUAAAAAUGUUACAAAUUGAUUCUCCGUUAUUAAGGAUAUUCAUCAUUUUAGCCUUCAUUUCUUUAGCAAUGAUAAGUUGCCGAGUGCCUGAAGAAGAAUCUAAGCAAGUUCAUUCUAGCAAUAGUCGAGAAAUGGAGAUGACUGAUGAUGUUAGAAGUAUAUAUAUUCUGACUACAAGAUACCAAAUUCGUUUAGGAGGCUGAUCAACCAAGAUAUCAAGCUUAGAUGCAAUUUUUUUCGCCAUGUGAUGGAGAUAAAGAAAAAUUCUUUUUCAUUUAAAAUUU